UCCCCUGAAAAAGGGAAACAACCAAGUCUGUUAGGUGGGACAUGAAAACCUUCAGAGUUGAUGGCACUUGGGUUUGGGUGGGGGGCUCUCAGGCAUGCAUCAUUAUUCCAGGAGCUUCCAGUUCCCACAGAGCACUGGCUGGGAUCCCAAGUCCUACAGUACAGUGGUGAUGGCUUGCGUGUAUCUGGGUCAAGAGCAGACACUGAUGAGUGUCCGGUGAGGUCUUAUAAUAAUUAAAACACAAUGACAGUGACAGCUAAGAGGUACUGACUAUGUUACCAAGUUUCAGCAACUUAUCUUCUGUUUUAAAUGCACUAUAUCAUUUUAUCCUUUCAAAAAUCCUAGGGGGUGGAGGAGCUCCACGAUGGAGCAUGUGCUUAGCAUACAUGAGGCUCUGAGUUCCCCAAACCUAUCCCUCAAAUUUUAUAAAGUACAUAUACAUGCCCGUACACACACGCAAUCCUAUGAUCAUGCCUAUUUUGCAGAUGAGAAAGUGGAAGCACAGAGAGGUAAAUUUGGACUAGGGUAUGUGGAAAAGAGACUUGAGUCGGUCUGAUUCUAGUGUCUAAGAGCACAUUGGACUCUCUCUCAAAACAUGCCCCGGAUAAGGCAACAGACCAUCAAAAGGUAGUGUCAGGAAAGGUCAGCUUCUGCUCACGUCAGAGUAUCAGGGAGUGGAUCCAACAUCACUGAGAGGACUAACAACAACCAACCAACCAACCAAUAUCCAAGACAAAAUAUAUCAACCAUCAGUUUUUACAACAUUGAACGUGAGAACAAAAGAGGCCGUGGCUGCUCUAAUUCCUGCUCUGAGGUAGAUUCUGGGCUGCAGGCAGCACAGGGCACCUAGGAGGAAGCUAAAAGAUUCCCUGAGUGCAGGAGGCAGAGCUGAGGGUCUGCUGAGAUCAACAUGGACAGACUUUGGAAGACAGCUGUCAGAGUGGAGCUAGCAGCACAGAGAGCCCUGAGAUCCACAAGAGGGUCCCGUUCAGUACUCAGCAGAGCACAGGUCAUAGCAGUGUGUGAAGAAAGUACCCCAGAUCGAAGUGAAAAGAUGUCAUUGAGAACUGUGCCUGUCGCUCAUGCAGGAAUUGAAACAGGACUUGUUUUCUCUAGCCUCUAGACUUGUUUCAUCUAGAGAUGAAAACCACAUAAUCCACAGGGGAUUAGGAAGAAAACAGAGGAAGGCUUCUUAGUAGUGGGUAACAAUCAGUGCUCAGGGUUCCACAUCUAUCUGAUGACUCAUAAAAGUAAGAUCUGAGUUCAGAAAAGGAUCAAAGUUUCCAAUAAUUAAUUGACACCUGGGGAAAAGGUCAAUAAUACUAUAGGGAUACAAAACAUCAAACACUCAACAUGAUAAAACCACAAGGUAUGGUAUCCAGCCAUAUAUUUUUGGACAUACAAAGAAACAAGAAAGAACCCAAAAUGAGAAGAAAAAUCAGGUAAGCUAAAACUAACCUAGAACUGACAGUUGCUGAAUUUUUAGAUAAGGACACUAUAUAACUAUAUUUCUUAUGUUCAACAAAUUAGGCAAAGACAUGGAAGAUAUGAAAAGUCCACGACAAAUUUCUACAGAACUGAACAUAGAACAUGGACAGAGCAUGUGACCUUAGUUUCCAACAGAGGGAGAGACGCAAUAUACCUUCGGAAUACGCAGCCCUGCCGCAUCUGAAGCUACGUGAAACCAGCACCAUCACUGCCAGUUCAUUAUCGAAGCACCUAACUAACCACAUCACAUUUUGGGGACAGAUAGAAGAUUUUCAGUGAAGUGCCUGAAUCCUAUUCCUGAAAUCCACCUUCUAAGCCUGUCUCACUGACAGUCUGUUACAAGUGAUUAUUUUUUUUAAAUAUAUAUUUAAUGAAAACAUUAGUUUCAAUUACUAUGCUUAAAAAUACAUUCAACUCCCUGGUGGUUUAAGGUGCUGGCUAAAGCUGACUAACUUGAUGAGUGUGUGAAAACACCAGGUGCCAGGCCAGCCACUGGGUGAUACAGCAUAGGAGGGCAACCUGGCUGCGCCUGUGCCACCCUAUCUUCUGCAGCGUCUCUCGGGAGACAACCAGGUGCCCUGACUCCUAGGUCAGAGGCUGUCAUCCAAAUGGAGAUUCACCUUUGCAAUUGCAAAGAUUCCUGGUGAAGGGUAACGUGUGCACAAGUAACAUAGCCUCACACAUUAAGACGGCCCGUGGAAGAGCAACUUUUAAGAAGAAACUGAAACUCCUAAAUUUUUCAUCAUUUAAAACAACAUAAAUUGAGAAUCCAGAGCCAUACAAAGUUAUCAGUCAUCUUACCCCCUUCAUACAAAUACCGUUACAUUUUGGUGUGUUUGUUUAAUCUAAAAAAAUAUUCAGCAUCUGUACUUCUACAUGUUGUUAUCUGUUGCAUAAAUAAUUAGGAACUGUAGAUCUGGAAUACCUGAGUUUGAAUUCCACCUGAGUAGCUAUAUGACUUUGGAUAAAGUAUGGAAUUUUGUGCCUCAAUUAUCACAUCUGUAAAGUGGGGAUAAUAUCAGCACUUGCCUUGUGUGAUUUUUUAUAUAUUAAUCACACAGAGCGAUAUCUAGUCAUGGUAAACAUUUUAGCAGUGAUUUAGAUCAUAAUACUAACAUCAUUUCCAUGUUGUCUUACAUACUUGGUACACAGUUGGCUCUUGAAAAAUUCAUGGAACUAUUUAUGAAUUAAACAAUAAUACAAAA